UUAUAUCUAAUUCCCGUUGGUCCAUUC
rnacentral:ncRNA from 2 species